UGGGGAAUCUUCCGCAAUGGACGAAAGUCUGACGGAGCAACGCCGCGUGAGUGAUGACGGUCUUCGGAUUGUAAAGCUCUGUUAAUCGGGACGAAUGGUUUGUGUGCAAAUAGUACAUAGACAUGACGGUACCGGAAUAGAAAGCCACGGCUAACUACGUGCCAGCAGCCGCGGUAAUACGUAGGUCCCGAGCGUUGUCCGGAUUUAUUGGGCGUAAAGCGAGCGCAGGCGGUUAGAUAAGUCUGAAGUUAAAGGCAGUGGCUCAACCAUUGUAGGCUUUGGAAACUGUUUAACUUGAGUGCAGAAGGGGAGAGUGGAAUUCCAUGUGUAGCGGUGAAAUGCGUAGAUAUAUGGAGGAACACCAGUGGCGAAGGCGACUCUCUGGUCUGUAACUGACGCUGAGGCUCGAAAGCGUGGGGAGCGAACAGG
rnacentral:rRNA from 1 species